CCUACAGGUGGCAGCAGUGGGGAAUAUUGGACAAUGGGGGCAACCCUGAUCCAGCCAUGCCGCGUGUGUGAAGAAGGCCCUCGGGUUGUAAAGCACUUUCAGUGAGGAAGAACGCCUGGUGGUUAAUACCCAUCAGGAAAGACAUCACUCACAGAAGAAGCACCGGCUAACUCCGUGCCAGCAGCCGCGGUAAUACGGAGGGUGCGAGCGUUAAUCGGAAUUACUGGGCGUAAAGCGCGCGUAGGUGGCUUGAUAAGCCGGUUGUGAAAGCCCCGGGCUCAACCUGGGAACGGCAUCCGGAACUGUCAAGCUAGAGUGCAGGAGAGGAAGGUAGAAUUCCCGGUGUAGCGGUGAAAUGCGUAGAGAUCGGGAGGAAUACCAGUGGCGAAGGCGGCCUUCUGGACUGACACUGACACUGAGGUGCGAAAGCGUGGGUAGCAAACAGGAUUAGAUACCCGAGUAGUC
rnacentral:rRNA from 1 species